CCCAAAUCCCCCCAUGGCCCUUUAAAUCCCCCCCCCCAAAGUCUGCACUGUCCCUUUAAAUCCUCCCCCCCCCCAUAUAUCAGUCAUUGGGGGGGGGGUCAUUAUUAAGGUAGGUCCUCCAACCCCCCCAUUUUGGGACCCCCCCCCCCAAACCCCCCCAUAUCCCUUUAAACCCCCCCAUUUUAUUACUCCCCCCCCCCCAAAUCCCCCCAUGGCCCUUUAAAUCCCCCCCAAAGUCUGCACUGUCCCUUUAAAUCCCCCCCCCAUAUAUCAGUCAUUGGGGGGGGGGUCAUUAUUAAUGUAGGUCCUCCAACCCCCCCAUUUUGGGACCCCCCCCCCCAAACCCCCCCAUAUCCCUUUAACCCCCCCAUUUUAUUACUCCCCCCCCCCCCCAAAUCCCCCCAUGGCCCUUUAAACCCCCCCAAAAUCUGCACUGUCCCUUUAAAUCCCCCUCCCCCCCCAUAUCAGUCAUUGGGGGGGGGUCAUUAUUAAGGUAGGUCCUCCAACCCCCCCAUUUUCAGACCCCCCCCCCCCAAACCCCCCCAUAUCCCUUUAAACCCCCCCAUUUUAUUACUCCCCCCCCCCCCAAAUCCCCCCAUAUCCCUUUAACCCCCCCCCCAAAUUCUGCACUGUCCCUUUAAAUCCUCCCCCCCCCCCCCAUAUAUCAGUCAUUGGGGGGGGGUCAUUAUUAAGGUAGGUCCUCCAACCCCCCCAUUUUGGGACCCCCCCCCCAUAUACCCCCAUAUCCCUUUAAACCCCCCCAUUUUAUUACCCCCCCCCCAAAAAACUCCGCAGUGUCCCUUUAAAUGCCCCCCCCAUAUAUCAGACAAUGGGGGAGGGGCGUUAUUAUUGUCGGUCCUCCAACCCCCCCCAUAGGUCAGAUAUUGGGGUGUGGGGGGGUCGUUAUUAUUACAGACCCCCCCCCCAAUAAUAACGGCCCUUCCGUGACCCCCCCCCACCGCCCCCCCCCCAAAAAAAACCACCAAAACGACAAAAAACGACAAAAAAAACCCAAAACGGCGUCGGGGAAACGCAGUGGGAAAUAAAAGAGCCGCCGCUUCGCUGCGGGGUGCAGUGCCGCUCAGUCACCGCCAGGGGGCGCUGUGGGCAAUGCAGCCCUAUGGGGGCGCUGUGGGCGAUGCAGCCCUAUGGGGGCGCUGUGGGUGCAGUGCCGCUCAGUCACCGCCAGGGGGCGCUGUGGGCAAUGCAGCCCUAUGGGGGCGCUGUGGGCGAUGCAGCCCUAUGGGGGCGCUGUGGGUGCAGUGCCGCUCAGUCACCGCCAGGGGGCGCUGUGGGCAAUGCAGCCCUAUGGGGGCGCUGUGGGCGAUGCAGCCCUAUGGGGGCGCUGUGGGUGCAGUGCCGCUCAGUCACCGCCAGGGGGCGCUGUGGGCAAUGCAGCCCUAUGGGGGCGCUGUGGGCGAUGCAGCCCUAUGGGGGCGCUGUGGGUGCAGUGCCGCUCAGUCACCGCCAGGGGGCGCUGUGGGCAAUGCAGCCCUAUGGGGGCGCUGUGGGCAAUGCAGCCCUAUGGGGGCGCUGUGGGUAAUGCAGCCCUAUGGGGGCGCUGUGGGCGAUGCAGCCCUAUGGGGGCGCUGUGGG
rnacentral:lncRNA from 1 species